GUCUUUUUGAAUAUAAUUUAAAGUCUAACCUGCUCAAUGAAUUUUAAAUAGCUGCGAUAUUUUGAUCGUACUAAGGUAGCAUAAUCAUUAGUUUCUUAAUUAGAAGCUGGAAUGAAUGGUUGAAUAAGAAAAUUACUGUCUCAUAAUUAAUUAUAGAAUUUUAUUUUUAAGUUAAAAAGCUUAAAUUUAAUUAAAAGACGAGAAGACCCUAUAGAGUUUAAUAAUAAUAUUUGUUUAUAUUUUAAAGAUUAUUAAAUUAAAUAAAUUAUAUUAUUUAAUUGGGGUGAUUUAAAAAUUAAUAUAACUUUUUAUUUAUUAAAACAUUGAUUUAUGAAUAAUUGAUCCAAUAAUUUUGAUUAUAAGAUUAAAUUACCUUAGGGAUAACAGCGUAAUUUUUUUUGAGAGUUCUUAUUGAAAAAAAAGAUUGCGACCUCGAUGUUGGAUUAAAAUAAAUUUUUAAUGCAAAAGUUAAAAAAUUAAGUCUGUUCGACUUUUAAAAUUUUACA
rnacentral:rRNA from 1 species